rnacentral:rRNA from 1 species
AGUGAACGCUGGCGGUAGGCCUAACACAUGCAAGUCGAACGGCAGCACAGUAAGAGCUUGCUCUUACGGGUGGCGAGUGGCGGACGGGUGAGGAAUACAUCGGAAUCUACUUUUUCGUGGGGGAUAACGUAGGGAAACUUACGCUAAUACCGCAUACGACCUACGGGUGAAAGCAGGGGAUCUUCGGACCUUGCGCGAUUGAAUGAGCCGAUGUCGGAUUAGCUAGUUGGCGGGGUAAAGGCCCACCAAGGCGACGAUCCGUAGCUGGUCUGAUAGGAUGAUCAGCCACACUGGAACUGAGACACGGUCCAGACUCCUACGGGAGGCAGCAGUGGGGAAUAUUGGACAAUGGGCGCAAGCCUGAUCCAGCCAUACCGCGUGGGUGAAGAAGGCCUUCGGGUUGUAAAGCCCUUUUGUUGGGAAAGAAAAGCAGCAGGUUAAUACCCCGCUGUUCUGACGGUACCCAAAGAAUAAGCACCGGCUAACUUCGUG